rnacentral:rRNA from 1 species
AUGGACCAUUCCAUCCCUUUUUCCCGUGCAUAUGCAUCGGACUCGGAUGACGAUGGUCCCGAUGAACAAGUUGAUGCGGAGGGGUUCACGGUGAAGGAGGCCGAAGCUUUCGAGAAGGUAUUUGGUCGGGAUCAUCGGACUACAUUGUUCAAGGAUGUUAGUCUCGCGGAUGAAGCCGUGGUAGAUGGUGGCCAAUGUGUACCUCUUGGGGUUAGGCCAAGCUCUCACCGUGAUUUGGUAGACGACAAGAACCGGAUUGCUAAAGGUUCUAAGUUCGACACCUUGUUGGAAUUGAAGAUGUGGCUCGACAACUACUCGGUUACGCAUUAUCGUCCACACAAGGUGGUGAAAUCGGACGUCAAUGUGUGCUACACGGUUGCAUGUGCAUGUGAAUAUGAAAUAUGUCCGUGGAUUGUGCGUGCAAGACCAUGGAAAUGA